rfam:Asian citrus Psyllid, Diaphorina citri - Florida Strain, whole genome shotgun sequence.
GGCAGUGGCGAUAGCACGUUGUAUGACACUAUUCCCCAUUAAUCACUGAAGUUGAGCAACGUAUCGCGUGGUUAGCACCCGGAAGGGUGACCAUGUGGGCAAAUCGCGUGCUGCUGGUU